UACCAGCACCCCGAGUGGUCGGGACGUUUAUUGGGCCUAAAGCAUCCGUAGCCGGUUCUACAAGUCUUCCGUUAAAUCCACCUGCUUAACAGAUGGGCUGCGGAAGAUACUAUGGAGCUAGGAGGCGGGAGAGGCAAGCGGUACUCGAUGGGUAGGGGUAAAAUCCGUUGAUCCAUUGAAGACCACCAGUGGCGAAGGCGGCUUGCCAGAACGCGCUUGACGGUGAGGGAUGAAAGCUGGGGGAGCAAACCGG
rnacentral:rRNA from 1 species